rnacentral:rRNA from 1 species
GGUUAAGCGACUAAGCGUACACGGUGGAUGCCCUGGCAGUCAGAGGCGAUGAAGGACGUGCUAAUCUGCGAUAAGCGUCGGUAAGGUGAUAUGAACCGUUAUAACCGGCGAUUUCCGAAUGGGGAAACCCAGUGUGAUUCGUCACACUAUCAUUAACUGAAUCCAUAGGUUAAUGAGGCGAACCGGGGGAACUGAAACAUCUAAGUACCCCGAGGAAAAGAAAUCAACCGAGAUUCCCCCAGUAGCGGCGAGCGAACGGGGAGCAGCCCAGAGCCUGAAUCAGUGUGUGUGUUAGUGGAAGCGUCUGGAAAGGCGCGCGAUACAGGGUGACAGCCCCGUACACAAAAAUGCACAUACUGUGAGCUCGAUGAGUAGGGCGGGACACGUGGUAUCCUGUCUGAAUAUGGGGGGACCAUCCUCCAAGGCUAAAUACUCCUGACUGACCGAUAGUGAACCAGUACCGUGAGGGAAAGGCGAAAAGAACCCCGGCGAGGGGAGUGAAAAAGAACCUGAAACCGUGUACGUACAAGCAGUGGGAGCACAGAGCAAUCUGUGUGACUGCGUACCUUUUGUAUAAUGGGUCAGCGACUUAUAUUCUGUAGCAAGGUUAACCGAAUAGGGGAGCCGAAGGGAAACCGAGUCUUAACUGGGCGUUAAGUUGCAGGGUAUAGACCCGAAACCCGGUGAUCUAGCCAUGGGCAGGUUGAAGGUUGGGUAACACUAACUGGAGGACCGAACCGACUAAUGUUGAAAAAUUAGCGGAUGACUUGUGGCUGGGGGUGAAAGGCCAAUCAAACCGGGAGAUAGCUGGUUCUCCCCGAAAGCUAUUUAGGUAGCGCCUCGUGAAUUCAUCUCCGGGGGUAGAGCACUGUUUCGGCAAGGGGGUCAUCCCGACUUACCAACCCGAUGCAAACUGCGAAUACCGGAGAAUGUUAUCACGGGAGACACACGGCGGGUGCUAACGUCCGUCGUGAAGAGGGAAACAACCCAGACCGCCAGCUAAGGUCCCAAAGUCAUGGUUAAGUGGGAAACGAUGUGGGAAGGCCCAGACAGCCAGGAUGUUGGCUUAGAAGCAGCCAUCAUUUAAAGAAAGCGUAAUAGCUCACUGGUCGAGUCGGCCUGCGCGGAAGAUGUAACGGGGCUAAACCAUGCACCGAAGCUGCGGCAGCGACGCUUAUGCGUUGUUGGGUAGGGGAGCGUUCUGUAAGCCUGCGAAGGUGUGCUGUGAGGCAUGCUGGAGGUAUCAGAAGUGCGAAUGCUGACAUAAGUAACGAUAAAGCGGGUGAAAAGCCCGCUCGCCGGAAGACCAAGGGUUCCUGUCCAACGUUAAUCGGGGCAGGGUGAGUCGACCCCUAAGGCGAGGCCGAAAGGCGUAGUCGAUGGGAAACAGGUUAAUAUUCCUGUACUUGGUGUUACUGCGAAGGGGGGACGGAGAAGGCUAUGUUGGCCGGGCGACGGUUGUCCCGGUUUAAGCGUGUAGGCUGGUUUUCCAGGCAAAUCCGGAAAAUCAAGGCUGAGGCGUGAUGACGAGGCACUACGGUGCUGAAGCAACAAAUGCCCUGCUUCCAGGAAAAGCCUCUAAGCAUCAGGUAACAUCAAAUCGUACCCCAAACCGACACAGGUGGUCAGGUAGAGAAUACCAAGGCGCUUGAGAGAACUCGGGUGAAGGAACUAGGCAAAAUGGUGCCGUAACUUCGGGAGAAGGCACGCUGAUAUGUAGGUGAAGUCCCUCGCGGAUGGAGCUGAAAUCAGUCGAAGAUACCAGCUGGCUGCAACUGUUUAUUAAAAACACAGCACUGUGCAAACACGAAAGUGGACGUAUACGGUGUGACGCCUGCCCGGUGCCGGAAGGUUAAUUGAUGGGGUUAGCGCAAGCGAAGCUCUUGAUCGAAGCCCCGGUAAACGGCGGCCGUAACUAUAACGGUCCUAAGGUAGCGAAAUUCCUUGUCGGGUAAGUUCCGACCUGCACGAAUGGCGUAAUGAUGGCCAGGCUGUCUCCACCCGAGACUCAGUGAAAUUGAACUCGCUGUGAAGAUGCAGUGUACCCGCGGCAAGACGGAAAGACCCCGUGAACCUUUACUAUAGCUUGACACUGAACAUUGAGCCUUGAUGUGUAGGAUAGGUGGGAGGCUUUGAAGUGUGGACGCCAGUCUGCAUGGAGCCGACCUUGAAAUACCACCCUUUAAUGUUUGAUGUUCUAACGUGGACCCGUAAUCCGGGUUGCGGACAGUGUCUGGUGGGUAGUUUGACUGGGGCGGUCUCCUCCUAAAGAGUAACGGAGGAGCACGAAGGUUGGCUAAUCCUGGUCGGACAUCAGGAGGUUAGUGCAAUGGCAUAAGCCAGCUUGACUGCGAGCGUGACGGCGCGAGCAGGUGCGAAAGCAGGUCAUAGUGAUCCGGUGGUUCUGAAUGGAAGGGCCAUCGCUCAACGGAUAAAAGGUACUCCGGGGAUAACAGGCUGAUACCGCCCAAGAGUUCAUAUCGACGGCGGUGUUUGGCACCUCGAUGUCGGCUCAUCACAUCCUGGGGCUGAAGUAGGUCCCAAGGGUAUGGCUGUUCGCCAUUUAAAGUGGUACGCGAGCUGGGUUUAGAACGUCGUGAGACAGUUCGGUCCCUAUCUGCCGUGGGCGCUGGAGAAUUGAGGGGGGCUGCUCCUAGUACGAGAGGACCGGAGUGGACGCAUCACUGGUGUUCGGGUUGUCAUGCCAAUGGCACUGCCCGGUAGCUAAAUGCGGAAGAGAUAAGUGCUGAAAGCAUCUAAGCACGAAACUUGCCCCGAGAUGAGUUCUCCCUGACUCCUUGAGAGUCCUGAAGGAACGUUGAAGACGACGACGUUGAUAGGCCGGGUGUGUAAGCGCAGCGAUGCGUUGAGCUAACCGGUACUAAUGAACCGUGAGGCUUAACCUU